rnacentral:rRNA from 1 species
GCAGUCGAACGGUAACAGGAAGCAGCUUGCUGCUUCGCUGACGAGUGGCGGACGGGUGAGUAAUGUCUGGGAAACUGCCUGAUGGAGGGGGAUAACUACUGGAAACGGUAGCUAAUACCGCAUAACGUCGCAAGACCAAAGAGGGGGACCUUCGGGCCUCUUGCCAUCGGAUGUGCCCAGAUGGGAUUAGCUAGUAGGUGGGGUAACGGCUCACCUAGGCGACGAUCCCUAGCUGGUCUGAGAGGAUGACCAGCCACACUGGAACUGAGACACGGUCCAGACUCCUACGGGAGGCAGCAGUGGGGAAUAUUGCACAAUGGGCGCAAGCCUGAUGCAGCCAUGCCGCGUGUAUGAAGAAGGCCUUCGGGUUGUAAAGUACUUUCAGCGGGGAGGAAGGCGAUAAGGUUAAUAACCUUGUCGAUUGACGUUACCCGCAGAAGAAGCACCGGCUAACUCCGUGCCAGCAGCCGCGGUAAUACGGAGGGUGCAAGCGUUAAUCGGAAUUACUGGGCGUAAAGCGCACGCAGGCGGUCUGUCAAGUCGGAUGUGAAAUCCCCGGGCUCAACCUGGGAACUGCAUUCGAAACUGGCAGGCUAGAGUCUUGUAGAGGGGGGUAGAAUUCCAGGUGUAGCGGUGAAAUGCGUAGAGAUCUGGAGGAAUACCGGUGGCGAAGGCGGCCCCCUGGACAAAGACUGACGCUCAGGUGCGAAAGCGUGGGGGAGCAAACAGGAUUAGAUACCCUGGUAGUCCACGCCGUAAACGAUGUCGACUUGGAGGUUGUGCCCUUGAGGCGUGGCUUCCGGAGCUAACGCGUUAAGUCGACCGCCUGGGGAGUACGGCCGCAAGGUUAAAACUCAAAUGAAUUGACGGGGGCCCGCACAAGCGGUGGA